GAACGGUUAGCUCAGUUGGAGGAGCACUCGCACGAUACGCGAGAGGGCGUGGGUUCGAGUCCCGCAUCGUUCA